rnacentral:rRNA from 1 species
AUCUUCUGCCCAGUUGGGGCGGGUUUGGCGAGUUGCUGUGUAAACUGGGCARAUGUUGUGAUACAUUAUUCGUCCCCCAUUAUAUCUGUGUUAAGGGGGAGCUUUAGGCUUAGUCUCUCGGUUACGAGAUCGGGGAGACUGUCUAUAUCUGGGUUUGGUCCUGUGUAAACUGGGGUUAGGGUUGCCCGUGUUUAUUGAGUGUGUUAAUAUUCUCAUAUCUGGUACUAAUGAUUAGGGCUAAUGCCCUUACUGUUAAACGUAUGCGCAGGUUUAUGGGAUAAUAAGUAACUACAUCAGACGUAUUUUAUCUCGGGCCCAGCCCGACUGUUUAUUAAAAACAUUUCCUCGCGUAGUUUGCGAGGUAUGACCUGCCCGGUGAGUUUAACGGCCGCAGUAUAUUGACUGUGCGAAGGUAGCAUAAUUAAUUGCCUCGUAAUUGGAGGCUUGUUUGAAUGGUUUAACGCGGUUGGUAGCCGAAAUUACGUCUUUUACUGAAAUUAAUAUCACGAGUACAGAAUCUGUGUGAUUUAGUUAGACGGAAAGACCCCGGGAUCUUUUGUUUUGUCUGGGGCGGAUGGGACUGUUUCAGUCCCUUUACGAUCCUUAGUUUAUAGGUUUAAGUUACCCCGGGGGUAACAGAGUAAUAGUUUAUUAGAGGUCCUAUCGAUUAAACUGUUUGCUACCUCGAUGUUGACUUGGUUCGUCUAUUGGCGUAGCAGUUUGUAGAUUGGGUCUGUU